rnacentral:rRNA from 1 species
ACACGCAUGACACACUGCAUAUCAAUAAGCGGAGGAAAAGAAACUAACAAGGAUUCCCCUUAGUAACGGCGAGUGAAGCGGGAAGAGCUCAAAUUUGAAAUCUUCAAGGGUUCUACCUUGACGAAUUGUAGUUUAUAAGAGGUGUUUUCUGUUAGUAGAGGUGGCUAAAAGUUCUUUGGAAUAGGACAUCAUAGAGGGUGAGAAUCCCGUAUUUGAUCAUUCUUUCUAAGCUUUGUGAUACACUUUCAACGAGUCGGAUUGUUUGGGAAUGCAGUCCAAAAUGGGUGGUAAAUUUCAUCUAAAGCUAAAUAUUGGCGAGAGACCGAUAGCGAACAAGUACCGUGAGGGAAAGAUGAAAAGAACUUUGAAAAGAGAGUUAAACAGUACGUGAAAUUGUCGAAAGGGAAGCGUUUGACACCAGUGUUGUUUUUCCGAAAAUCAAUUACUGAAUGGUUUGAUUUUGAGAAGUUAUGACCUUCAUCAGCUUGCUUCUUAUCUUUAUGUACUUUCGUAAUGCACUUUUCGGUUAACAAGUCAACAUCAAUUUCUUUUGUUGUAGAAGGGUAAUGAGGAAGGUGGCUUUACUUUCGGAGUAAAGUGUUUAUAGCCUUGUACCUCUGCAAUCGGAGAGAUUGAGGUCUGCAGCGUAGAUCCUUCGGGGUUAGAUACAUUUGUGCUAAGUUAUAGCUUUUCAUAGACAACUUGUUGACUAUGUUUAGUCUUGUAGCUUACUCGCUUAUGGCUAUUUUACCUACGCUUAGGAUGUUGAAGACUCUACAGAGAU